rnacentral:misc_RNA from 1 species
GAUGAAGAACGCAGCGAAAUGCGAUAAGUAAUGUGAAUUGCAGAAUUCAGUGAAUCAUCGACUCUUUGAACGCAUCUUGCGCUCCUUGGUAUUCUGAGGAGCAUGCCUGUUUGAGUGUCAUUAAAUUCUCAACUACACUGACUUUGAAUUGGUGUGGCUUGGAUUUGGGGGGAAAAUUGUUGUGGGCUUUUUGUAUAGUCUGCUCCCCUGAAAUUGAUUAGCGGUACCUUUGUGGAACUGUCUACAGGUGUGAUAAUUAUCUACAUCUUAGACAUCUGCUGGAAUGCUGCUUUCUAAACCUUACUUGUAUUGACAAUCUUGACCUCAAAUCAGGUAGGACUACCCGCUGAACUUAAGCAUAUCAAUAAGCGGAGGA